UACGGAGGGUGCAAGCGUUAAUCGGAAUUACUGGGCGUAAAGCGCGCGUAGGCGGUCUGUUAAGCGAGAUGUGAAAGCCCCGGGCUUAACCUGGGAAUUGCAUUUCGAACUGGCAGGCUAGAGUGUAGAAGAGGGGUGUGGAAUUUCCGGUGUAGCGGUGAAAUGCGUAGAGAUCGGAAGGAACAUCAGUGGCGAAGGCGACACCCUGGUCUAACACUGACGCUGAGGUGCGAAAGCGUGGGUAGCGAACGGG
rnacentral:misc_RNA from 1 species